AAAUUUCAGGCUAAGUUGUUGUUUGCAAACAAAAGCCAUCAGGUCACUGCCCAAACUAGUCCAUGCAUUUCCCCCACAGAAGUCAUCUGAACUUU